rnacentral:lncRNA from 1 species
UGGGUUUUUCACAAGGAGCUGCAAUGGCCGCUUUAGUUUGCCUGCAUCAACAGAAGCUAAAAGUACGACCCAGUACAAUACCACUCAGUGGUAUCUGGGGAGGGUAGUGUGUACGCAGCCUUACCCCUACCCUGGGGUAAAGAGGCUGUUUCCAAAUAGACCCCCGGCAUAAAUUCCCAGAAUUUGCUCCUGGGGAGACUCGAACUCACAACCUCCCCCAGAAUUUGCUACUGGGGAGACUCGAACUCACAACCUCUCGGUUGUAAGUGAGGGUUGGUUACCAUCAGACCAAGCCCCUCUUGUCCAACAGAAGCUAAAAGGAGAGAUGGAAUUCAGAUUUGCGAUCCUGUGCUCUGGAUUUGGUGUCAAUAUGAACAAUUGUCAGCAGGCGUCAAUCAAUGUUCCUUCACUUCAUAUAUUUGGCAGCGACAAGGGUAAAGAUA